rnacentral:rRNA from 1 species
UACGUAGGGACCAAGCGUUGUUCGGAUUUACUGGGCGUAAAGGGCGCGUAGGCGGCAAUUCAAGUCAGCUGUGAAAUCUCCGGGCUUAACUCGGAGCGGUCAGCUGAUACUGCUUUGCUAGAGUGCAGAAGGGGCAAUCGGAAUUCUUGGUGUAGCGGUGAAAUGCGUAGAUAUCGAGAGGAACACCUGCGGCGAAGGCGGGUUGCUGGGCUGACACUGACGCUGAGGCGCGAAAGCCAGGGGAGCGAACGGG